UACAGGCAUGAGCCACCGCACCUGGCCAAAUGACUGGUUCUUUAAAGAAAAAUGAAGAAGAAUAAAAUCUGGGACUGGAUGGAAAGCUUAAGCAUGUCACGCAUGGUCUGUUCACAAGCACCUCUUCGGCAAAGCCCACCUCCCUCUCUCGCUUGAUUCCCCGGCCAUCCUUAUCAAAGACCUUCCAGGUGAACAGGCAGCCAUCCUCAGCAGCAGUCAGCAGGAACUGAUCAUCAAAGAAACUUGCAAAAAUAGCACAGAGAGAGUGGACUUCUGGAAUGGCACGGCAACAAAAUUCCCUACGGCAGCACCCAAAGGCUUGAAAUUAGCCAUUCCAAGUGUGUCCAAAAAACUAAAGGAAACCAUGAUUAAACAAGUAAAGGUAGAAAUGAUAUGCAUCAAAUAGAGAAGAAUAAAAGGAUCCCAUCAAUAUAGGGAUAGAACUGUAAGAAAAUAGAAAUUCUAGAGUUAAAAACUACAAUAACUGAAAUGAAAAAUCCACUAGAGGUGCUCAAGAAUAGAUCUGAACUGGCAGAA
rnacentral:lncRNA from 1 species